GGACUACAGGGGUAUCUAAUCCCGUUCGAUCCCCACGCUUUCGUGUCUCAGCGUCAGGAGCGCGCCAGUCAUGUGCCUUCGCAUUUGGUGUUCCCCAUGAUAUCAACGGAUUUCACCCCUACACCAUGAGUUCCCAUGACCUCUCGCGUCCUCUAAGCUCGACCGUUUCCACCGCAUUCCACAGGUUAAGCCUGCGGGCUUUUACGGAGGACUAGUCGUGCCGCCUACACACCCUUUACGCCCAGUGAUUCCGGAUAAUGCUCGGAGCCUCUGUAUUACCGCGGCUGCUGGCAC
rnacentral:rRNA from 1 species